UAGCUGCACCCUGCCCUGCAGCUGCACCCAGGCCCUUCAGCUCAGAGUAACCCUGCUUAUGGCACCCUAGUCCGUGUUUCUUCCCAUCCCCUCAGCCACACAACCCCAUGGGCAGUGUGCUUUAUAGUGCAGGUGCUUGUCUCCUAACACUGUGGCCUUACCUGUUGUCCCUCGUCUACCUAGGGCCCUGCUCACUGGCCACUCUCCCUGAGCCAAUGUCCUAGGGCUCUGAGCUGUGCAGGAGGCAGAGCUUCCUCCUCUUCAGGGCUGUGUGAUGUCCAUGGUGGUCAUCAGGCCAUGACCUCCUCUGUCAGUGUGCCUUGGUCUGUUGCACCUGCAGCUCUGUGAGCUAUGCUGGAGCAGAGACAGGUGUGUAAACUGGAGGCCUCCCCUCUCCAGGACCACACACAGGCCGUGGUGCCAGGUGUGGACUGGAGGCCUCCCCUCUCCAGGACCACACACAGGCCAUGGUGCCAGGUGUGGACUGGAGGCCUCCCCUCUCCAGGACCAUACACAGGCCGUGGUGCCAGGUGUGGACUGGAAGCCUCCCCUCUCCAAAACCACCACGCACUGGCUGCAGGACCAGGUAUGGACUGGAGGCCUCCCGUCUUUAGGACCACACACAGGCCA